AUGCUCACAUUGCCAGACUUCACCAAACCGUUCAGCAUAGAGACUGACGCCUGCGACACGGGCAUCGGUGCCGUGCUCGUGCAAGAAGGACACCCGGUGGCGUACUUCAGUAAGGCCUUAGGUGUGCGCAACCAGAAGCUUUCAGCUUACGAGAAGGAAUUUUUGGCCGUCAUGAUGGCAGUGGACAAAUGGCGAGCUUAUUUGCAACGCGGCCAGUUCACCAUUGUCACUGAUCACAAAAGUCUGUGUCACUUGGGUGAUCAACAGCUCGAGACAGAUUUGCGACGCAAAGCAAUGUCCAAGUUGGUUGGCCUGCAGUUUAAGUUUCAGUACCGGCGUGGAGUGGACAACGGAGCGGCAGAUGCCUUGUCACGG
rnacentral:rRNA from 1 species